UCAUAGAAGAGCUCCAGCUAGAACAGCAGCACCAACUAAAAUCAAAGAAUGAGAUCCCAGACCAGAGCAAUGACCUGGUAGAGGAAGAUUUGGCUCCAUGCUUUAUAAUAUCUGCUUGGCCGGGGCCAUCUGACCCGAUUUACUCCGGUGAAAUAUCUAAAGAGUGCAUCAUUGUGCCUUCUAAGGAAGCUGAAAGUGUUGAGUUUACUUCCGAAGUGGAGAAAACAUCAGCUAGAACCAAAACCAAGAAAAAGAAAGGAGCAUGGGCCGUCCUCAGACGAGCAUGGAAAGUACUGGACGCACCAAGAUUUCAC